rnacentral:rRNA from 1 species
AAACUCAAAGGAAUUGACGGGGACCCGCACAAGCAGCGGAGCGUGUGGUUUAAUUCGUUGCUACACGAAGAACCUUACCUGGGUUUGACAUAUAGGUUGUAGGGAACUGAAAAGGGACCGACCCUUCGGGGGCCUAUACAGGUGUUGCAUGGCUGUCGUCAGCUCGUGUCGUGAGAUGUUCGGUUAAGUCCGCUAACGAGCGCAACCCUCGUCGUAUGUUAUAUGUGUCAUACGAGACUGCCGGUAAAAAGCCGGAGGAAGGUGAGGAUGAUGUCAAGUCAGCAUGACCUUUAUAUCCAGGGCUACACACACGCUACAAUGGUCUGUACAAUGGGUAGCCAAGCCGCGAGGCGGAGCCAAUCCUGAAAGCAGGCCUCAGUUCAGAUUGCAGUCUGCAACUCGACUGCAUGAAGCCGGAGUUGCUAGUAACCGCAGGUCAGCAAUACUGCGGUGAAUACGUUCCCGGGUCUU